rnacentral:lncRNA from 1 species
ACAGCCCAUUCAGCGCUGCCCUCAUGAUCCAAUCACUUUCUGAAAGCCUCACCUCUGAAAAGAGGAGAUUUUGGAAGACAUUUUAGAGCUAAUGCACAGCAGGUAUGAAGGCCAGCAGCAUAUCACAACCUCUUCAGGACCAGGAAUCCAGACAUCUAGGAAAACAACUUAACAAGAGAAAAGGAAGAACUCCAGGAAUCAAGAAAGAGCAGACAGGAAAACUAGAAUUCACAGAGAAACAGAAGAAAUUAAAGAUAAUUCAGAGUAAGGAACAAAGCAGUCUGGAACACUUACUCCAGCUCCCAAGGAAGAGGUCCUGUCUCCGCAAACACAAGAAAGAGCUUGAAAGGAUACCAAGGGAUACCUCUGCUCUCCUUGGUGGGAUCAAGAAUCAGGAGAACUGUGGAAUAACCUGGGAAAAAUUAGGACACAAGCACUCUUGAAUUCAAAGAUUUUAAUGGAACAUAAUGACCUCUGCUCUAUAGCAUCUGGACUUGAAUCAGUAUUUUAUAAUGGAAAUAUUGAUAUUCUGCCAGCAACCGAGAACUUAUUUCAAUAUCUUAGUCAAAAAUCACCCAUCAGUGAUUGGGAAAAACUUUUUUUCACUCUUAUUGAAAACAAUGGUUUCAAACUGCUGUGGUUUGAAUGUGUGCCACAGAAGUCAUAUGUUGAAAACUUGAUCCUCAAUGGUGUUUAGGUCAUCGGGACAGAGGCCUCAUGAAUGGAUUAAAUAUGGUGAUUGCUGGAGUGUGUUCCUUAUCAUGGGAGUGGG